UAAGGAAUAUUGGUCAAUGGACGCAAGUCUGAACCAGCCAUGCCGCGUGAAGGAUGAAGGUCCUCUGGAUUGUAAACUUCUUUUAUCUGGGACGAAAACGGGAUUUUUAUCUCAAUUGACGGUACCAGAGGAAUAAGCACCGGCUAACUCCGUGCCAGCAGCCGCGGUAAUACGGAGGGUGCGAGCGUUAUCCGGAUUUACUGGGUUUAAAGGGUGCGUAGGUGGGCUUAUAAGUCAGUGGUGAAAUCUCCGAGCUUAACUUGGAAACUGCCGUUGAUACUAUAGGUCUUGAAUUAUCGGGAGGUAAGCGGAAUAUGUCAUGUAGCGGUGAAAUGCUUAGAUAUGACAUAGAACACCAAUUGCGAAGGCAGCUUACUACAUAUAAAUUGACGCUGAGGCACGAAAGCGUGGGGAUCAAACA
rnacentral:rRNA from 1 species